rnacentral:rRNA from 1 species
CAGCAGCCGCGGGAAAACGGAGGGUGCAAGCGUUAAUCGGAAUUACUGGGCGUAAAGCGCACGCAGGCGGUCUGUCAAGUCAGAUGUGAAAUCCCCGGGCUUAACCUGGGAACUGCAUUUGAAACUGUCAGGCUGGAGUCUUGUAGAGGGGGGUAGAAUUCCAGGUGUAGCGGUGAAAUGCGUAAGGAUCUGGAGGAAUACCGAUGGCGAAGGCAGCCCCCUGGGCCAACACUGACGCUCAUGCACGAAAGCGUGGGGAGCAAACAGGAUUAGAUACCCGUGUAGUCCCUGUCUCUUAUAC